GUCGUGUGUGUUCUACUCACCACUAGUUCCAGCAGGUCAGAGGUAGUGUGUUCUACUCACCACUAGAUCCAGCAGGUCAGAGGUAGUGUGUUCUACUCACCACUAGAUCCAGCAGGUCAGAGGUAGUGUGUGUUCUACUCACCACUAGUUCCAGCAGGUCAGAGGUAGUGUGUGUUCUACUCACCACUAGUUCCAGCAGGUCAGAGGUAGUGUGUUCUACUCACCACUAGUUCCAGCAGGUCAGAGGUAGUGUGUUCUACUCACCACUAGUUCCAGCAGGUCAGAGGUAGUGUGUUCUACUCACCA